CCGGGGGAACUGAAACAUCUAAGUACCCCGAGGAAAAGAAAUCAACCGAGAUUCCCCCAGUAGCGGCGAGCGAACGGGGAGGAGCCCAGAGCCUGAAUCAGUGUGUGUGUUAGUGGAAGCGUCUGGAAAGGCGCGCGAUACAGGGUGACAGCCCCGUACACAAAAAUGCACAUGCUGUGAGCUCGAUGAGUAGGGCGGGACACGUGGUAUCCUGUCUGAAUAUGGGGGGACCAUCCUCCAAGGCUAAAUACUCCUGACUGACCGAUAGUGAACCAGUACCGUGAGGGAAAGGCGAAAAGAACCCCGGCGAGGGGAGUGAAAAAGAACCUGAAACCGUGUACGUACAAGCAGUGGGAGCACAGAGCAAUCUGUGUGACUGCGUACCUUUUGUAUAAUGGGUCAGCGACUUAUAUUCUGUAGCAAGGUUAACCGAAUAGGGGAGCC
rnacentral:rRNA from 1 species